rfam:Ictidomys tridecemlineatus contig070898, whole genome shotgun sequence.
GUGGCUGUGGCUCAGUGGUAGAACGCAUGCCUUGCACAUAUGAGGCACUGGGUUCAAUCCCCAGCACCACA